AAAGGAGUGAUUAUCAAGCUGGACAGGGUCUAGAAAAGCUUCAGGGAAGUUGAGGUUUUUGAGCAGGGCCUGAGAGAAGAUCGUGGCUGAUGCAAGCGUGGGAAGGAGAGAGGAUGGCAGGAAUAUAGAACACCCGGAGGGAAGUGGGAAGUACAAAUGUGUGUGCAGGGACAGCGAGUCACGGCUGGGUGGGCACCCAUGCCAUGGAACAGCUUGAUGCCUGGAGAGCAGCACCCAGAAACAGCUUUCAGCCCAGAUUGCUAAUUAGAAUUUUUUCACUGUGUGUGAAAUUUCCAGGAUCAGCAUGGAAUGUCAUCUGCGUCUCCUGCAGGCAUCUCCUCCCAAACACGGCUUCCUAAACCUGUCUUGCCAGUCAAGUCCCACAGCUGCUCUGCCAAGUUAUACAGGCUUCCUCUGAAAAGCUGUUCUGGACUUGCAUGUGCUUGGAGGAACGAAAGCAAGGAAAGUGAAACCCUCCACUUGUUUCCAGGGUCAUCUUGUCCACUCGAGUGGCACUCUCCACUCCUACUCCUGUCCAUGAAGCCAAGUACCUCUUCAUGGGUUGGCACUGAGAGGUAGGCACAGAAACCACUUCAGCUGGCACAUGAAAGAACAUCACUAUGACCCUUGCCUGUUAUUCAGCAGUAUCCUGGAUUUCCCCUUCAGUUCAGACGGGAAGCAGAACCUAGCACUCAGGUAGGCCUCUAUUCUUCCCUCUCUCCCUCACUUAGUGACACUCAGAAGACAAAGAUUGCGACCAUUUUCCUCUGAGGGGGAGCCCAC
rnacentral:lncRNA from 1 species